UGCGCACACGAUCAGAGAAGGGAUAUUUUCGCGUCCCUUCUCAAAUCAAAAAAAUCCUCAAAAAUCUAUGUGGAUAGAGGAUUCAAUCCAAAUUCCAGAACAUAUAAUGAGUGGAUAAAAAUUCCUACAAAUGGAUGUGUUCUCACAUCCUUUCACGCGAAGUCUGAUCACCGCACGCGCAGGCGUGAGGAGGAACUUAUGGCGUCCGUUUGGCAUCC
rnacentral:lncRNA from 1 species